rnacentral:rRNA from 1 species
CCUACGGGGUGCUGCAGUGAGGAAUAUUGGUCAAUGGCCGAGAGGCUGAACCAGCCAAGUCGCGUGAGGGAAGAAUGUCCUAUGGAUUGUAAACCUCUUUUGUCAGGGAGCAAAGUCACCCACGUGUGGGUGUUGGAGAGUACCUGAAGAAAAAGCAUCGGCUAACUCCGUGCCAGCAGCCGCGGUAAUACGGAGGAUGCGAGCGUUAUCCAGAUUUAUUGGGUUUAAAGGGUGCGUAGGCGGUAUUUUAAGUUAGUGGUAAAACGUCGGGGCUUCACCUUGAUUGGCCAUUAAAACUGGAGUACUAGAGUACAGACGAGGUAGGCGGAAUAAGUUAAGUAGCGGUGAAAUGCUUAGAUAUAACUUAGAACCCCGAUAGCGAAGGCAGCUUACCAGACUGUUACUGACGCUGAAGCACGAGAGCGUGGGUAGCGAACAGGAUUAGAUACCCGGGUAGUC